rnacentral:ncRNA from 2 species
CACUCUGGAGAGUAGGCCCGCAACCGCGCGGCCUCGCCGAAGGCAGCAUGGCCAGUCAAUACUGCGCCGCAAUCUCUCAGGCAAAGGGACAGAGGG